GCCGCCGCGGUAAUACGUAGGUGGCAAGCGUUGUCCGGAAUUACUGGGUGUAAAGGGAGCGCAGGCGGGACUGCAAGUUGGAUGUGAAAUACCGCAGCUUAACUGCGGAGCUGCAUCCAAAACUGUAGUUCUUGAGUGGAGUAGAGGUAGGCGGAAUUCCGAGUGUAGCGGUGAAAUGCGUAGAUAUUCGGAGGAACACCAGUGGCGAAGGCGGCCUACUGGGCUCUUACUGACGCUGAGGCUCGAAAGUGUGGGGAGCAAACAGGAUUAGAUACCCC
rnacentral:rRNA from 1 species